UACGGAGGAUGCGAGCGUUAUCCGGAUUUAUUGGGUUUAAAGGGUGCGUAGGCGGCUUAGUAAGUCAGCGGUGAAAUUUUGCAGCUUAACUGUAACAGUGCCGUUGAUACUGCAUGGCUAGGAUUUGGUUGCUGUGGGUGGAAUGUGUGGUGUAGCGGUGAAAUGCUUAGAUAUCACACAGAAUAUCAAUUGCGAAGGCAGCUCACAAAGCCAAGAUUGACGCUGAGGCACGAAAGUGUGGGGAUCAAACA
rnacentral:rRNA from 1 species